UCGAGGAUCUCCGGCAAUGGGCGCAAGCCUGACCGAGCGACGCCGCGUGGGCGAUGAAGGCCUUCGGGUUGUAAAGCCCUGUCGGGGGGGAGAAAAGGGUUAAACUUUGAUCUAUCCCCGGAGGAAGCACGGGCUAAGUUCGUGCCAGCAGCCGCGGUAAGACGAACCGUGCGAACGUUGUUCGGAAUCACUGGGCUUAAAGGGCGCGUAGGCGGGCCUCCAAGUCCGGGGUGAAAUCCUCCAGCCUAACUGGAGAAGAGCCUCGGAGACUGGGGGCCUCGAGGGAGGUAGGGGCGUGCGGAACUAUGGGUGGAGCGGUGAAAUGCAUUGAUAUCCAUAGGAACUCCGGUGGCGAAGGCGGCACGCUGGACCUCUUCUGACGCUGAGGCGCGAAAGCCAGGGGAGCAAACGG
rnacentral:rRNA from 1 species